rnacentral:rRNA from 1 species
GUCUGCUUGAUAAAAAAAACAGUCUGGCCUGCCCACUGAGUGUUUUAAAGGCCGCGGUAUAAUGACCGUGCAAAGGUAGCAUAAUAAUUAGUCUUUUAAUUGAAGACUGGAAUGAAGGGUCGGACAAAAAGUAACCUGUCUCCUUUUUAAAAAUUGAACUUAACUUUUAAGUGAAAAGGCUUAAAUACUCUUAAAGGACGACAAGACCCUAUAAAACUUUAUAAAAACAGGAUUAAACUUUUAAUUUAUUUUUUUAACAAAGAUUAGUACUGCUUUUAUUUCGUUGGGGCGACGAAAGUAUAACUUUUUAACUGCUUUUUAUUUUUUAACAAAAAUAUUUGUUUUUCUGACCCUUUUUUAAGAUCUAAAGAAAAAGUUACUUUAGGGAUAACAGCGUUAUUUUCUUUGAGAGUCCAUAUCGACAAGAAAGCUUGCGACCUCGAUGUUGAAUUAAGAUGCCACUAUGGUGCAGCAAUUAUAAAGGUAGGUCUGUUCGACCUUUAAAAUCUUACAUGAUUUGAGUUCAAACCGGUGUAAG